GAUGAACGCUGGCGGCGUGCCUAACACAUGCAAGUCGAGCGAUGAAGUUUCCUUCGGGAAAUGGAUUAGCGGCGGACGGGUGAGUAACACGUGGGUAACCUGCCUCAUAGUGGGGAAUAGCCUUCCGAAAGGGAGAUUAAUACCGCAUAACAUCAUUAGAUGGCAUCAUUUAGUGAUCAAAGGAUUUAUUCGCUAUGAGAUGGACCCGCGUCGCAUUAGCUAGUUGGUAGGGUAAUGGCUUACCAAGGCGACGAUGCGUAGCCGACCUGAGAGGGUGGUCGGCCACAUUGGGACUGAGACACGGCCCAGACUCCUACGGGAGGCAGCAGUGGGGAAUAUUGCACAAUGGGGGAAACCCUGAUGCAGCAACGCCGCGUGAGUGAUGACGGUCUUCGGAUUGUAAAGCUCUGUCUUUGGGGACGAUAAUGACGGUACCCAAGGAGGAAGCCACGGCUAACUAC
rnacentral:rRNA from 1 species